CCUCACCAUUUAAAAUUGUCUCAGGGACUUCCAUGUCAUGCCCGCAUGUUUCAGGCCUUGCAGCCAGCAUCAAAGCUCGAAAUCCUUCAUGGAGUAUCUCUGCAAUCAGAUCAGCCAUCAUGACAUCAGGUCAGGCUUUUCAUUUUUACACAAAUGAAUCAUCAAUUUAGUCUCCAAGUAUUGUAUAGUUCAAUCCUAAAAAUUCUAAAAUGAUUUCUGAAACAAAAAAUUAUCGACCACACCAGUCAUUUUAAGUCAAUUGAUUAGGUCUUUAAAAAUUGUCCCACAUGCAGAGACUGAUGCGAUCAAAGAUUUUUAAAUUUUAUAGAUCAUUUUAAAUUUCGCCAAUUUAACUACUACAAUUUCACAUAUUAGAUUGAUUAUUCACUUAGGGGUAAGAUCUUCUCCAUUUGUCACUAUUUCCAUUUCAUCAAUUACUGCAGUUUUUGAUGUAUAAAUGCACAUGUUUUGAAUAUUGUGUCAUUUAUCUUGUAUAAUUAAACUUUUAUACACUCAACAUUAGCAACGGAGCUUUCAAUUUCUUUUUUUGAGAAAUGAGAGGAUCCCUGCACAUUCACUCCAGGUAAUGUAAUCCUAGGUUAGAUAUGAUUAUAAUAUCUAUCUAGCAACUCAUAAGCUCCAAUUUUUCUAAAUGCAGCAAAUCAAAUUAACAAUAUGAAUGCUCCAAUUACAACGGAUUCAGGAUCAGUUGCAACACCCUAUGACUUUGGAGCAGGGGAAAUAACAACAUCUGAACCAUUUCAACCCGGGCUAGUUUAUGAAACCACCACCGUUGACUACUUGAAUUACUUGUGUUACCUUGGAUUCAAUAUAAACACAAUUAAGGUUAUCUCCAAAACUAUCCCAAAUAGUUUCAGUUGCCCCAAGGAUUCAACUAAUGAUCAUAUUUCCAACAUCAACUACCCUUCCAUAGCAAUCUCCAACUUCAAUGGGAAAGGAACCGUGAAUGUGACUAGAACUGUUACCAACAUUGGUGAAGAGGAUGAAACUGUCUACACUCCUAUCAUCGAUGCUCCGAUUGGGGUGGAUGUUAAGUUGAUUCCAGAUAAACUUCAAUUUAAAAAAAGUAUAAAGAAAUUGAGCUUCAAAGUUGUUUUCUCGUCGACUUCAACCUUGGAGGAAGAUCUGUUUGGAUCCAUUACCUGGAGUAAUGGUAAACAUAGUGUUCGAAGUCCUUUUGUAUUAGCUAUUUAGCUAAAUUUAAAGAAAUAUGAAUAAAUGCAAGCUCAUUUCUUGUAAAUUCCUACUCAUGUGUUGUUAAUGUUAUUUACCCUUUUGUUCUAACUGACACUACACUACGAGUUAAAUUUAUGUGAUUUUCAUAGAUUUUAAGUAAGUCGAAGUAAUUUUAGGCAACUUAUUUUUUAUGGGAAAAUGUAAACCAAAAGUAAAAUUGUUUGUUUGCAUAGAUAUUACUAGUGUUUUAAAUUGUAACUCUUGGUUAGGAUAUACUUUGAACAACCUAUGAUAAAUGUAAAGUUAGCCUCAAAAUUAAUCUUAAAAGCCAUAAUAUAUGUCAUAGACUCAUUGUUAUGCUGCCAACAUCAUUUCCAAUUACAAUAUUUAUGAUCGUUAUAUUAUUACUUCUUCUUCUCGUAUGAUCAAUUUUACUGGAUAGAGUUGAACUGCCUCCACAUUAACAUGCGAUUUAGUAACUAGUUCUCGUUCUUCUAUUUUCUUCCAUGUUUGUUGAAUUUCCUUAAAAGAUUGAAAUUCCGCAUUAGGUUUAAUAGCGAGUUCUCAUUCUUCUUUUACUCGUUAUUCUAUUUUCUUCCAUUUCUAUUGGAUUUCCAUAAAGCCAUAUGGAUAAAUCAUAUUUAACUUCUAAAAUUUUAAAUUAUUCUUUAUCAGACAAAAAAAUUACUUUUUAUUUUUCGAAAUAUGCUCUUAACAAUUUACUUUAAUUGCGAUAAGAAAAAAGUCCGUUGCACUAUUUAUUUGUCACUUUCAAUAUAAAAUUCACUUUCAAACUAAAAAGAAUAAACUAAUAGUAGUUUUUUUUUCAAUUAUAUUUUCUUGGCUGUUUUGCAUGAACAAAGUCUUAUAAUAUUUGAUUUAAGUAAUUGAUAAAAAAUAAAUAAAGAAAAAUAAAUUUAAUAAUAUUAAUAAAUUUUACUUGUUAAUAUUAAUAAAUAAAGAAAAAUAAAUUUAAUAAUAUUAAUGACACGAAAUAUCACUAGCAGUCAAUGGAGCAAAAUAUGAACAAAAUAUUUUAUAAUUUAUUGUAUAAAUAUAUAUGAAUAAAAUAUAUUUUGUGGGUUUCAAAACACAUUAGUUAAAAUAUUUUCAAAACAAAAUAUGAACACAUUAGUUUCAAAACAUAUGAAAAUAUUUUGUAAAAUACAUUAGUUGUAGUUUUCAAAACAAUGGCACACAUUUAAAAUUGUUUGUUUUUAAUGCAUAAAUACAUGUGAAAAGUAUAAUACACUAAUUAUAAAUAACUAUUCAAAUAUACAAAUACUUAUAACUCAUCAAAUAGAUCAAUGAUUAAAAAACAAAAAAAUAAUUAAAAAAGAUUAUCAUUCUCAAAACCGUUUUGUUUUUUUUGCAAAGACAGAGAAACUUUCAUUCAAAUUAACCUCUACAAACACAAGGUGUGCAUACUAGGAAAAUACAUACUGUUAAAAUCCAAUUCAAUCACUAAUUACAACCACUCAAUACUAUCUAAAAUAAAACACAAAUAAAAUUCUAUUAGACCAUUCAAAAUCCAAAUAAACUUUAUUACCAUGCUCUUACCCGAUUCAAAAUUUAGGCACAAUAGCUCAUACUUCCCUUCACUUAAUUUUAGAUAACACUUCAAUUAUUAACUGUUUUUUUUCUUUUUCGAUUUGGUCAUUUAUUUAAUUUUAUUACAAAAAUUCAAAAAAUAUAUACAAUAAAAAUAUGAGUUUAUUUGAAUAUUUGAGUUAUAAAUUUUAUGAAAUUUAUAUUAUAUGGAAGAUGAUAAUUAAUUUUAUGAAUUUUAUUUGAAAAUUUUGAUGAAUUUUUUUUAAAAAAUGAUAACAUUAUUAAUAUUUUAAAACACAAAAGAUCAAAUUGUUUACUUAAAAUUAAAUAAAUGACUAAAUUAGGGAGAGAAAAAAAUAAAUGACUGAAGUGUUAUCUGAAGUUAAGUUAAAGACCACAAGAACAAUUAUGCCAAAACUUUAUUAUACAAAUUAUAACGGCCACAUAUAAAACAAAUUUUUUUUGUUUAUAAUUUCAACGAGAACAAAAUAAUAAUUACAAUAUUAAGUCCACAAAAAUUAUAUGGAUAAAAUAGUUAUUAUUUAGAUAAACCACCAUUUAAGUCUUGGAAAAUAUAAUAUGUUAUAUUUUGGUCUAAGUUAAUCAUUGAAUCAUUAAAAUGUCUAUCAGUUUAGUCUAUGAUGUUACAAUGGUCAUUGAUCUAUUUUAACAUUAAAUUAUAUCUUUAAAGAACUUUUAUAAUAAUAAAAUUGUAUCUUUCAGAUAUUAUUUUGAUUAUUCAUAUAUUAAUUUGGUUUUUUUUUUAUUGAAUCAAGAAUGAAAUCAGAGUCUUAUAUAUUUUACUAAAAUUGCAGUUUAUCAAUUUUUCUUUUAUGUAUUUUUUCAUUACUUAAUUAGAUGAUUUUGAAGAUUGCAUUUAUCAUUUAUAUCAACCAUAUUUUAUAUUUUUUUCUUCCAUAUUUUACAAUUAAAUUUAUUUUCUAAACUAUUUAUAUAUCGUCUAUCUUCGUAUAAUAAUUAAAGUCGCGUGACUUAUGCGAAUGCAUGUAUAUUUUACUAGUUACUCUUCAUAAAUAAUUUUAACAAGUGCUCGUUUAGACCGAAUUCAAUAAACUAGUGGAUAUGUUUUACCAAAAUGCUUGUCUAGUAAGAUAACGAUAAAUCUCCACAAAUUAGAAUACAGCAUGAUUAAUUUCUAGUUUGAUCACUCUUCCAUUCUCAUAAGACAAUAAUUAGACACAAUAAUUCACGCACAAGCCCACUUACAUGUCAUAAUAUAGUGAAGGUCAAUUAUGUGUGACUGAGCUUGUUAUAAUUUUUAAUUAGAAUUAACAUACCCACAAUUUUUACCAAGACAUUGAAUUAUUCAGACUAAUUGCAAAGAUAUGGAAACUUAAUCGCUGAUCAGCUGAAUCACAUGGUGUUAUUGUUAUCAUAUAUGAUGUUGCUUUAGUUUCUAAAAGAUUCCUAUAAUUAGAGAAUUUAAUUUAUGACAAGGCAAUACAUGCAGCAAGAGUUUAUAUUUUUUCUUCUUUUAAUAUGAUUUUCAUUGAUUGUUAUACGGUUUUGUGUUUUCUUCUUCUAAAAUACUCUUAUCGUAAUUGUGUUUAUAAAUCACAAUUUAAAACUAUAUGUUCAUAUAUAGUAUAUUCCCAAGCAUUGAUUACUAUAAUUUACAUUGUGUAUUCAGAAUUCGUUGCAUUUUAUCACAUGUAAAACUAACUAGUUGCUACCUCCACUUAUUGAGUGGUAGUUAUAUAUCGACUUAUCGUAUAUAUUUGUGGUUAUAGCACAAAAAAUAGUAUAUAUUUACGCAGCUUUAUAUCUUCAAAUGGGGCACUUUGCGUGGAUGAAAUGCUUCAUGCCAAUUUGCAAUGCGCAUAAGCAAUACGCAUGCAUCAACUCCACAAUAGCAUAAAUUAUAGAACUUUUAAUGGAUAUGUAUUAUCGUGUAAAAAAUAUCACACAUACAUUGAAUUAUAUCUCAUCGUUAUGUCAUUAAGUUAUAUUUGUUUUUUAAAAAGUCUUCAUAAAAUCUAUAUGGUAAAAUUUGAUGAAAUGUUAUGUAAAAUAUUUUAAGGGUUUAUAGGAUAUGUAUUGUCAUGUGAGUCAUUGAUCGUGUAAUAUUAUUGAUCGAUGAAAAUUACAAUUAUAUGGUAAAAUAAUAAAAUCAAUCAUUUUUAUUAAAUAAUACAAAUGUAAAAUUGAUUUAUACCACUUUUUUUAUGUAUAUUUUCUUUUUAUGAUGAAAAGGGGAUAAGUCCAAGCAAUACAAGAAUCAUCAUAUGUCAAUAAAACAUUGAAAUAAAAGAAGAAAAAUCCUCAAAACCCUCUAGCUUUGAAUGUGAUAAAUCAACAAUAUAUGACGAAAGCACCUACAAUAAUUGAUCAUGAAUACGAUCAUAAGAACCAAUAUACACUCUGAUUUUACAAUAAUUUAUGCUCAAAAAAUUACUCUGACACAUUAAAUUAAUUAAUUCAUCUCCGAUGGAAGUUGCUUCCACUAAAAAGAAACGAAACCAAAUUAAUAGCCACCACACAUUGGGCUAUAAGAAAUAUGAUGCCUAUUUAGACCGGUCAUAUAUUAUGUCAAUAUUGUGGGAUGAUUUGUUGAAAAUAUAAUCAUUUAAAGUUAUUUGUAAAAUCUAUUUAAUAAUUUUUUCAGAAAUAUUGAAUUGAAAGAAUUGAGUAAUUAUUAAAUGUUAAUAUUAAAAAUGUUACAAUAAUUUAUUGGGCUUAUGUAAUUAGGCCUUUUCUAUUUUUAAGUUAGUAGUUAAGUCCUUUUAUGUUUCACUAUUUACUCUCCUUGUAAUUCUUGUAUUUACAAAAAAAUUUUGUAUUCUAUAUUGUUAGAUAAUGUUAUUAUAUAUUAGUAGUAAAAGUAUUUUAGACAUUUCUAUUCUUUUAUAUAUAUACUAAUUGUAAUCCUAUUAACUUAAAUUUGGUUCAUUCUAUGUUAUGAAACCCUAGAGUGGUUGCCUCUCUUCUUCCUUUUUUCAUUGUUAACAUGAUAUCAAAGAGCUUUGGUUGAUUUUGGGAUCUAUUAUAAAGAAGAGAGAGAUUAUUUUGAUAGGAAAGACAACCACCAAAAGAGAAAAGAGAAUAGUAACCCUAUUCUCGAUUUUGUUAAAUCAGUCUCACAAAAACAUUGAUUGCGCAUUCGUUAACCGUUGGAUCGGACUGCUUUUUUGGACAGAAGGUUCGCAACAUUCAGGUCUUCGUCUUCAAUGGUCGGAUCAGCGAAACACCGUCUGUAGGAGGAGAAAUCGGGCUCGUACAUCACCAGAUUAUCUCGAAUUUAUUUUGUCUCAGUGAUUGUGUUUGUCGUAUUUUCCUGUCAUUAUUUGUUAUGGCUGGUGCUAAGGAUGAUUCUCUUCAAGCACAUUGGAAAAUACAUUGUCCAAAAUUGUGGAGAGAAGAAUUUUAGGGGGCCAUCGUCCAAUGUUGUUGCUUCUGCUCCUUCUACCAUUGGUUUGGCUCUAGUUCUGGUUCUGUAUACUCAUCUGAGAUUGUUUUCCAAAUAUCUGAUAUUGCAGAACAACUUCAAAAACUUCUUGUCACUCAAUCACAUGCUAUGUUUUCCACCUCUUCUAAAGGUUUGAACUUCUCUAGUAUGUUAGAUAUAUCUCCUUCUAUAUGGAUUCUUGAUUCAUGAGCAUUUCAUCAUAUGACAUACGAUGAUAAAUCUUUUGUGUCUGUGAAACAUGUCUCGUAUGUGUCAGUUAUGACUGCUGAUGGCACUCAUAUGCCACUAGCAGGCGUUGGUUCUGUCUCCACACAUAACAUGUCUCUUUCUGAUGUUUGUUUGUUAUGAUCAGUAUUAAGGAAUUAAUUUUGGUUUGGUUCACAUGUUUUCAAUUGUUGUGGUUCUUUUUUGAUUUGGUUGGUAAUUUAAUUGUUCGUUUCUCCUAUCUCUUUGGUUGUUUUCUUCUGUGUUGUUGCUCUCUCUUUUGCUUCUUUUGUUUGAUUGUUCCUCUCUCUAGUGAUUUGCUUUGUUGCUUCUCUCCAUAUUGAUUGUUCUAUUUGUUUGCGCUUCUCUCACGUGGUUCAUCUAUUUGGUUGUUUUUCUCUUUGUUUAGUUUGAUUUGGUGUAGUUUAGUUUGGUUUGAUAUGAUUUAGUUUUGUUUGGUUCUAUUUGGUUUGGUUUGUUUUGAUUUGGUUUCGUGGUGCUACUUCUUUGGUUGUUCCUAUCUGUUGAUUUUGAUAUUGGUUGAUUUGAGCUUUAGUUUGAGGGGUUGUUUCAAUAUUAGGAAAUUUUAGCGGAGAUGUUAAGUAGAAUGUUAUUGGGCUUUUAUAUUAUAUAUUAAGGUUUGUUUUGAUAUGGUUGUUGCUCCUUUUUUUUUAUCGCUCCUUUUUCAGUUUGAUUUUUUGUUGGCUUGGUUCUUCUCUUGAUUGUGAUUAUUUGAUAUGAUUUGUUGGUUUGGUUUCUCUCUUUAUUGUGAUUGUUUGGUAUAGCUAAUGAUCAUCUCUUUGGCUUCUGCUUCUUCUUUCGUUGCUUCUCUCUUUGUUGGUUCUUCUCUUUGAUUGUUGCUUCUUCUUUGGUGACAUCCCUCUUGUGCCCCCGGCUGUCCAACCACCUCCUGCAAUUGUUGAUCCUCUUCGUUACCCCUCUCGUAAACUUUGUCUGAGCCCUCUUCCUAUAAAGAGGUUGAUCUUGAUCCUCUUUGGCAGCAGACUACGGCAGAAGAACUAUCUGCAUUGCACAAAAUCAAUACUUGGAAAUUAGUACCCCUUCCUCCUGAAAAACGUGUUAUUGAGUCUCGUUGGGUAUACAAGAUCAAAAGUAAAUCUAAUGGGUCAGUUGAGUGCUACAAAGCACGUCUUGUUGCUAAGGAUUUCUCUCAACACUAUGGUAUGGAUCAUGAAGAAACUUUUGCUCUUGUAGCCAAGAUGACCAGUAUUCGUACUAUUCUUCUUUACAGAUUGCUGAUUUGUUCACAAAGAUGCAUUCCAUUAAACUUUUUCGUUUUUUAGUUGACAAACUCUCGAUGUUCCAUGUUAAUGCAUUGUGAGUUUGAUGGGAGAUGUUAGAUAAUGUUAUUAUAUAUUAGUAGUAAGGGUAUUUUAGACAUUUCUAUUCUUUUAUAUAUAUACUCAUUGUAAUCCUAUUAACUUAAGUUUGGUUCGUUCUAUGUUAUGAAACCCUAGAGUGAUUGCCUCUCUUCUUCCUCUUUUCAUUGUUAACAUAUAUAAUUAUUUAUAUUGUUAAAAUAUAUAUAUAUAUAUAUAUAUAUAUAUAUAUAUAUAUAUAUAUAUAUAUAUAUAUUUUGUGUGCAAAUUUCUGAUUUAUAUCUUAAUUACCGUAAAUCAUAUAAUUGGUUGCUGACACAAGAAAGCACCAACUUAAUUAUUAUUAACUUAAAAUAGACCCAUUGCUUCUUAUAUAUAUAUAUGUGUUCUAGAGUUACCAAGCAUGGUCAUCAGAAACUAAUUGAACACAAAACAGUUCAUUAAGAGAACAUAACGAUGAAGAUGAAAGGAAAUCCAAUUUUAUUGAUAGUAGUAUUAAAUUUGUUUGGUGUAAUUUGUGUUGGAGAAUCAAGAAAAUCAUCAGGUGAUAUAAGUGAAACAGAGAAUGAGAAGAAAGUAUAUAUUGUGUAUAUGGGAGCAGCUGAUUCAUCAAAUGCUUCCCUUCGCAAUGAUCAUGCUCAUCUAUUAAACAGAGUGUUAAGAAGGUAAUGAAUGAAUUAAAGCAUUAAUUGCAUGUGGAAUGAAUGAAUGAAUGAUAAUAGUAAUAAUAAUUGAAAUGUGAAAUGAAUAGGAAUGAGAAAGCUCUAGUAAGAAACUACAAACACGGAUUCUCAGGCUUCGCAGCUCAUCUAUCAAAAGAAGAAGCAAACUCAAUUGCUCAACAACCUGGUGUUGUUUCUGUCUUCCCUGAUCCCAUUCUCAACCUUCACACUACACGUUCAUGGGAUUUCCUCGACUUGCAAACUCAUGUCAAAAUCGACACUCACUCAGAUUCUUCUUCUUCUGCUUCUUCUUCUUCAUCCAACGUCGUAAUUGGCUUACUAGACACAGGUUAUUGUUUAUUGAUUAAAAAAAUUUACGUUAUAAUUUAUAGAGGACGGAGGCAUAAUUAUUUGUUGAUAUAAAAAAAAAUGAUACAUAUGUAUGUACGUGUUAAAUAACAUAGAUUCAGUAAGUGAUCCUUAUCAUGAAUUAAUUUGAUUGGUAGUGGAUUGAUUGGUUUAAUCAUUUAAUUAAUGAAAUGAAAGAAUGAAUAUAUUCAGGUAUAUGGCCAGAAGCAGUAAGUUUUUCAGACAAGGGAAUGGAUUCAAUUCCAUCCAGUUGGAAAGGCAGUUGCAUGAAAUCAAUUGAUUUUAACUCAUCCAACUGUAACAGGUAAAUAAAAAAUACAAGCACCAGGGUUGUUUAUUAUUAUUUGUGUUGUGGGGUCCAUUAGAUUAACAGCUGGCAUAAAUGUAAUUUUAAUUUUGAAUAGGAAGUUAAUAGGAGCAAGGUAUUACCCAAACCCUGACCAGAAAGAUGACCCGGACAACACGCCAAGGGAUACAUAUGGACAUGGGACCCACACGGCGUCGACGGCGGCAGGUAGCGUUGUCAGUGGAGCAUCUUACUACGGUAUCGGGGAAGGUACAGCACAAGGUGGGUCCCCUGAAUCGAGAUUGGCGGUAUACAAAGUGUGCUUAAAAGACAUUGGGUGUUCUGGUUCGUCCAUCCUUGCGGGGUUCGACGAUGCGAUUGCCGAUGGAGUUAAUGUGCUUUCGCUGUCGCUUGGCGCGUCACCGGAUUUUCGACCCGAUUUGGCAACCGACCCGGUUGCAAUCGGAGCGUUUCAUGCUGUGGAGCGUGGCAUUCUCGUGGUUUGCUCCGCUGGGAAUUCUGGACCAGAUCCCGAAACUGUUGUUAAUGAUGCUCCUUGGAUUUUUACCGUUGGAGCCACUACCCUCGAUCGCUUUUUUCAAUCCAAUGUCGUAUUGGGUAAUAACAAACUUAUUAAGGUACUAUUUCUUUUAUACUUUGCUAUAUUCCAUUUACUUUUUAUUCUUUUUUCUUUUUUUUUUAACGAUAUACUCAUUUACUUUUUAUUAUUUUGAAAAUUCCUAACAAUUUUCAGACUUUUCUUUUUCGACAUAAAUAAAUACGUCUCAUAAAGAAAAUUAUAGUUAUUUCUACAAAUUAAUUAUUAAAUAAACAUACACAAAAUUAUAAGUUAUCAACGGUGUAGCAUUCGGUGUAUGGUCUUCAUACUCAAAUUUUAAUUGGUUGUAGGGUAAAGUAGUUUGGGAGAAGAACAUGAAGAUUGAAGACCCUAUAAUAAAAUUUACAACUAGCUGUUAAUAUUAAUCAUUUCAUAAAAACUAAUGUUUGCAGUAAAAGUAUUUUAGGAUGAAUUUUAUGAUUUUGAUAUAUUUAUUAAUUGUAUAUUUAUAUCUAUUAUUAACAAGUAAAUUUAAAAAAAAAACAUAGAUAUUUCAGUAUUCAAUCCAACAUCGUUUAAUCCAAUUCAAUUUAUUACCAAACUCAAUUCAAUGUUAUCUCCAUAGUUUGAAUUUCAAUUUUGAUCAAACUCAACUGACCCACGUCAACUUCUAUAACACUUAUUUACUUCACCAUACAUUAGUAUAGAAAAAGAAAAGGCAAUAAUAUUCCCUUGCUUUUUCUAGACGAGUUGGAUAUAGUAUAGGUACUAGGGUUUAUAUUAAACAUUUACUAUACUUUUUAUUAUCUACAAAUAAUUUUUUAAAAUAAUUUUGGAAUAAUAAGCUGUUUUAAUCCAACUUUUUUUUACUUUUUUCAAAAAGUAUUCUCGUUUCUUAUGUAUUCAUUAGAUUUUUUAGAAAAACUAUUUCAUUUUAAAAAUUUAAUCAACACAUAAAUAUUUAUUGGGUUUUUAUAUGUAGACUAUGUGUGUAUGGUUAUCAAACUAUUGUUUAAAAUUGUACAUGAAUUGUGUUUGCUAUCUGUGCUCAUGCUUAAUAAUUGUUAUACUUUAGGGUGAAGCCAUAAAUUUAUCCCCUCUUUCAAAAUCCCCCGAUUAUUCUUUAGUACAUGGUGAGUCUGCCAAAGCAAUUAGCGCCAGUUUAGAUGAUGCAAGGUACGUACACAAAAUCUAUCUGGUAAUGAAUAAACUUAUUGUGGCUAUUUUCAUUUUCACCUUUAACAAAAUUGUUUUUGAAACUGUACUUUUAAACUGUAUAAAUUAUUAAAUUUAAUUUGUUUAUAUGGUUAAUAUAAAAAAUAUUUACACUGUCAGCGAAGCGAACUAUAACUGUUAGAUCAUUAGAAAUAUUUAACUUUUACAGUGUAAAUUUUUAACUGUUAGAUCAUUAGAGAUAUUUAACUUUGACAGUGUAAUUUUUUUUACAUUAAAAAUAUAUGACAGUCAAUCUCUAAAUUAUUUAAAAAUGUACUUUUAAACAAUAUAAAAUAAAUUUUAUUUUCCGAAUGUUUACAUCCAAACUCAGGUUAGAAAUUUUUUUCCAAACUUGUUAGGCAUAAAGAGAAGCCUAGCACCCCAAGAUUUUGAAGUUAUGAAAAAAAAUAUAUAAUUUGUGAAAUGCAGGAAGUGUCACCCAAAUUCAUUAGAUGAGAAAAAAGUGAAAGGAAAGAUUGUCUUAUGCGAUGGCAUAGAUGAUGUUUAUUUGACUGGUUUUAAAGUUCAACUGGUGAAAGAUGCGGGUGGAAUAGGUCUUGUUCAUGUUACUAACCAAGAUCUCACAAUGGCCACAAAUUCUGUUGACUUCCCAGCAACUGACGUAAAUCCCAAAGAUGCUGCCACACUCCUCCAAUAUGUCAAUUCAACAAAGUAAGUAAUGCAGUAUUUUUUAUUUAUUAUAAUGCAUAAACAUAACAUGUUAUGAUAUCUUAUUAUAAAGGUUUAAUUGUAGAAACUAACUUUUAUAAUAAGAUUACAAUUACAAUUGAAACAGAAUUAUACACACUAUAGAGAAUGCAGAAUUAACACAUUCAGACUAGUCAAUAUGAGUUACCUACCAAGAAUUAUAGAGGCUUGUUGCAAGGAAAUUCUUAUCUAUGAAAAGAGUUUUGGUCUUUCCCUCCUCCCAAACCACUCAAUAACUUUCCUCUUCUGCUUUUAAUGGAAUAUUGAUGUUGGAGACUCAUUACAAUAUCGUAUUUUUCCAUGGACAAAAAGUAAAAAAUAAAAUUGCAAAGUUGUUAUAUUUACGUAGACUAAACAUAUAUUUUAACCUAUUAUAAAUCAUGUAUGUCUAACGACAAAAAUAACUCGGUAAACAAGCUCACUAUUUUUUAAGUAACUAAUGCUUUUCUUAGAAUUUGCUUUUACAUAUAAUAAUCUGCAGGAAUCCAGUGGCAACAAUUCUACCAACAGUUACAGGCAUUAAUUAUAAGCCUGCGCCCGUGGUGGUAGCCUUUUCAUCCAGAGGGCCUUCAGCGCUUUCAAAGAAUAUUCUCAAAGUAAGGAUAUAUAUAUAUGUGUGUAUAUAUAUAUAGAGAGAGAGAGAGGAUUAUAAAUCAUGUGACUAUAUCAUAUCAAUGUUUGCUCAGAACUUAACAGGAUCAGUUUCUUUGUGUGUAGCCUGAUAUUGCAGCACCAGGAGUUGACAUUCUUGCAGCAUGGAUUGGCAAUGACUCAUCAAGGGUUCCAAAAGGGAAAAAGCCCUCACCAUAUUACAUUGCCUCAGGGACUUCUAUGUCAUGCCCACAUGUUUCAGGCCUUGCAGGCAGCAUCAAAGCUCAGAACCCUACUUGGAGUCCCUCUGCAAUCAGAUCAGCAAUCAUGACCUCUGGUCAGGCUUUUCAUUUUUAUACAAAUGAAUCAUCAAUUUAGUCUCCAAAUAUCAGUAAUUUUGAAUACUAAAAUGAUUUCUAAAAUAAAAAAUUAUUGGUCGUUUUAAGUCAAUUGAUUUAGUCUCUAAAUAUUGACACACUUACAAAGACUAAUGCGAUCAAAGAUUUUUAAAAUUUUAUAGAUCAUUUAGAAAUCAAAUUGUCUAACUAUUACAAUUUCACAUAUUAAAUUUGACUAUUCACGUAAUGUAAUAUUGAAUUAGAUAAUGAUAUCUAUCUAGCAACUCAUAAACUCCUAUUUUUUUAAAUGCAGCAAAUCAAAUUAACAAUAUGAAUGCUCCUAUUACAACUGAUUCAGAGUCAGUAGCCACGCCUUAUGACUAUGGAGCAGGGGAAAUAACAACAUCUGAACCAUUUCAACCAGGGCUAGUUUAUGAAACCACCACCGUUGACUACUUGAACUACUUGUGUUACCUUGGAUUCAAUAUAACCACAAUUAAGAUUAUCUCCAAAACUGUCCCAGAUAGUUUCAGUUGCCCCAAGGAUUCAACUCCUGAUCAUAUUUCCAAUAUCAACUACCCUUCCAUAGCAAUCUCCAACUUCAAUGGGAAAGGAACCGUGAAUGUGACUAGAACUGUUACAAACGUUGGUGAAGAGGAUGAAACGGUCUACUC
rnacentral:lncRNA from 1 species